GUGGGUAUAACUCAGUUGGUAGAAUACAAGCUUCCCAAGCUUGAUGUCGCGAGUUCGAACCUCGUUACCCACUCCA
rnacentral:tRNA from 1 species